rnacentral:rRNA from 1 species
GAUAAACGCUGGCGGUGUACAUAAGACAUGCAAGUCGAACGGGAGAAGACAGGAAGAUUUAUCUACUUGUUGGACACCGUGGCGGACGGGUGAGUAACACGUAAGCAACCUGCCUAUAAGAGGGGAAUAACAGUGAGAAAUUACUGAUAAUACCGCAUAAGCUGGAGGUAUCGCAUGAUACAUUCAGAAAAGAUUUAUCGCUUAUAGAUGGGCUUGCGUCUGAUUAGCUAGUUGGUGAGAUAACAGCUCACCAAGGCGACGAUCAGUAGCCGGAUUGAGAGGUUGAACGGCCACAUUGGGACUGAGACACGGCCCAGACUCCUACGGGAGGCAGCAGUCGGGAAUAUUGCACAAUGGAGGAAACUCUGAUGCAGUGACACCGCGUAUAGGAAGAAGGUCUUAGGAUUGUAAGCUAUUGUCGUGUGAGAAGAAAAUGACCAUCACAGAGGAGCCCGC